AUAAAAAUAAUUGCAUAAGAAUAAUAAGAGAAAAAAUAGGAAAAUAAAUAAAUAAUAGUAAACAAACAAGCAAUGGAGCAGCGGGUGCAGAAUUGUAAAACAAAGUGCAAUGAGAAGUUUGGCGCCAGGGCCCAUUGGCAAGGCCCAAGGCUGGCCUAGUUCACUACAUGGGGUGCAUUGAGUGAAUAGGGUGUGAAGAGCUGAAAGAUUGGGCCUCAGAUGGAAAUAAGCCCACAAGGAAGGCUGAAGAAGUAAAAACUUGUGGUCUGGUCAAACAUUUCAAUGUUUUGCUCAUUUGAAUGAGCCACCGGAGCAGCUUCCCUCUUCGCCGGCAGCGGUGGCGCUCAAACCAUAAAUGAAACCACCAAUCAAAACGCCUUUUCACUCUGAGCCUAAAUCUGCAAUCAACUUGCCUUAAUUCUCACCGGAUCAACCAAAUCAAAGAUGAAAUUCCAAGAACCCUAGGGCUUGCAGAUGAAAUUAAAUGGCGAAUUCGUGUUAAUUCACACAAUUAGCUUUGGGUUAAUGAUCUUCUGAUUGAGCUCUGCACACCAGUAACAAAGUUAUGGUGAGAAGUGAAGAGAUUAACUACCUCCCGAAAUGAGCUCCGGCGAAGAAGACUUAGAGAAGCUGAAUCCGAGAAUCAGGUGUGAGCUCUUCCUUUCCUUGCCUUUGGGUUUCUUCUUCUUUCAAUAUCCAACUGCUUCUUCUUUUGUUCUACUUCACUUAUUUUGCUUCUGCGUGAGUGAAAGUGAGAGAUUGAGAGAAAUUCGGAAAUGUGUAGGGUUCUGAGUAACUUUUGGGGAUCAAUUCAAAGAGACCAAUGAUGAGUGAAUCCAAGGUUCUUAUAGAAUUUGAUCAAGGGUAGAUUAGGAAUGAAUUAAGAAAUUUGAGUUAGUUAGAUUUGGAUCCAAUGAUGAGGUGGAAAUGAAAUUAUGAUUUAUUUGUGAAUUAAUUCGAAAUAAAAAUGCUACUGAAAAAUCUGUUAGUUUGGAUUAAAUUGGAUGAGUUAAUCAAGUUAAUAAACCAGUUUCUUUUGGCCUUGGUUCACUUAAGUGGUUUGGGACUGGUUUAUGUGUGGACUGCAUUUGCUUGAUGAUUGCUUGCGCAUACGUUGAUAUGCAUUGCCCUGUAUUGAACUGUUUUAGUUUUUGGUAGGAAUUGUGAAAUGCACUGCUAUGUUUGAUGUUGCUCUGUUGAACUGAUGCAAGGCAUGAUGCUGUAGGUUUGUUGAUAUGCAGGUGCAGCUGUAAUCGAUUAUCUUAAUCGGUUACCAACACGAUAACAUGGGUUCUGGGUUGUAAAACAAGGCCUGCUUGCACAUGAAGAAAACAUUGGAUGGAAGGUUAAGUGAGGAGAUGAGACCAUGAAGACUAAAAAACAAUGAAGGUUUAGGAUUAGGCUUAGAAAAAUAGGUGAGUUGACUUUGGUCAAAGUUGACCAAAAAGUCAAAAGUUGACCAAAGUCAACUAUAGGUCAAAGUUGGCAUUUUUUGUAUUCCUUUUUUUUGUAAGAAUAAUGUAAAUGAUAUUGUACAUAGUUUAUGGAUAUUUAUGAAUGCAAAUAGCCUUUUUUAUUUCAAUGCAAAGAAUGUUUUCAUUUCAAAUGAUUUUCCA
rnacentral:lncRNA from 1 species